rnacentral:rRNA from 1 species
AAUGAACGCUGGCGGCAGGCCUAACACAUGCAAGUCGAACGAGGUAGCAAUACCUAGUGGCGGACGGGUGAGUAACACGUGGGAACGUACCCUUUGCUACGGAAUAGCCCUGGGAAACUGGGAGUAAUACCGUAUGAGCCCGAGAGGGGAAAGAUUUAUCGGCAAAGGAUCGGCCCGCGUUGGAUUAGGUAGUUGGUGGGGUAAUGGCCUACCAAGCCGACGAUCCAUAGCUGGUUUGAGAGGAUGAUCAGCCACACUGGGACUGAGACACGGCCCAGACUCCUACGGGAGGCAGCAGUGGGGAAUCUUAGACAAUGGGGGAAACCCUGAUCUAGCCAUGCCGCGUGAUCGAUGAAGGCCUUAGGGUUGUAAAGAUCUUUCAGGUGGGAAGAUAAUGACUGUACCACCAGAAGAAGCCCCGGCUAACUCCGUGCCAGCAGCCGCGGU